GAUGAACGCUGGCGGCGUGCCUAACACAUGCAAGUCGAACGACCAGACGAGGAGCUCUCUCUUCUGACGUUAGCGACGGGCGGGUGAGUCACAAGUAGAUAACCCUCCACUAUGACUUGGGUAACUGCGGGAAACCGGAUCCCAUAAUAGAUAAUACAACCAACGGGAGGGUGCAGUAGUGAUUGAUGGCUUUUGUGUUUACUUUAGCCGGAUCCGCGCUGGAUUAGCUAGUUGGUAAGGUAACGCCCUGCCAAGGCACCGAUGCGUAGCCGAACUGAGAGGAUGAUCGGCCACACUGGAACUGAGACACGGUCCAGACUCCUACGGGAGGCAGCAGUCGGGAAUGUUAGGCAAUGGGCGCAAGCUUGACGCAGCAAGACCGCGUGAGUGAUGAAGGCCUUCGGAUAGUAAAGCCCUGUUAUUGGGAAAGAACAACUGUGAGUAAAGAUGUAGCGGUAGUGACGGUACCUAAAGAAAAAGCACCGGCUAACUACGUG
rnacentral:rRNA from 1 species